rnacentral:rRNA from 1 species
AGCAGAGGGGGCUUAGUGGUGGGGUGACUGCGUACCUUUUGUAUAAUGGGUCAGCGACUUAUAUUCUGUAGCAAGGUUAACCGAAUAGGGGAGCCGGAGGGAAACCGAGUCUUAAUUGGGCGUUAAGUUGCAGGGUAUAGACCCGAAACCCGGUGAUCUAGCCAUGGGCAGGUUGAAGGUUGGGUAACACUAACUGGAGGACCGAACCGACUAAUGUUGAAAAAUUAGCGGAUGACCUGUGGCUGGGGGUGAAAGGCCAAUCAAACCGGGAGAUAGCUGGUUCUCCCCGAAAGCUAUUUAGGUAGCGCCUCGUGAAUUCAUCUCCGGGGGUAGAGCACUGUUUCGGCUAGGGGGCCAUCCCGGCUUACCAACCCGAUGCAAACUGCGAAUACCGGAGAAUGUUAUCACGGGAGACACACGGCGGGUGCUAACGUCCGUCGUGAAGAGGGAAACAACCCAGACCGCCAGCUAAGGUCCCAAAGUCAUGGUUAAGUGGGAAACGAUGUGGGAAGGCCCAGACAGCCAGGAUGUUGGCUUAGAAGCAGCCAUCAUUUAAAGAAAGCGUAAUAGCUCACUGGUCGAGUCGGCCUGCGCGGAAGAUGUAACGGGGCUAAACCAU